GGCACGGUGGCUUAGUGGUUAGUCUCACACCUCCGGGGUUGGGGGUUCGAUUCCCGCCUCUGCCC